rnacentral:rRNA from 1 species
UACGGAGGGUGCAAGCGUUAUCCGGAUUCACUGGGUUUAAAGGGAGCGUAGGUGGCUUUGUAAGUCAGUGGUGAAAUCUUAGAGCUCAACUCUAAAACUGCCAUUGAUACUGCUUAGCUUGAACCACGUCGAGGUGGAUGGAAUAUUACAUGUAGCGGUGAAAUGCUUAGAUAUGUAAUAGAACACCGAUUGCGAAGGCAGUUCACUAGGCGUGUAUUGACACUGAGGCUCGAAAGCGUGGGGAUCAAACAGG